GCCCACAUAGCUCAGUGGUAGAGCGCGUUCUUGGUAAGAACGAGGUCGGAAGUUCAAUUCUUCUUGUGGGCUCCA
rnacentral:tRNA from 3 species